AGUGAACGCUGGCGGUAUGCCUAACACAUGCAAGUCGAGCGGCAGCACAGUAAGAGCUUGCUCUUACGGGUGGCGAGUGGCGGGCGGGUAAGGAAUACAUCGGCAUCUACUUUUUCGUGGGUGAUAACGUAGGACAACUUCUGCUAAUACCUCAUACUACCUACCGCUUGAAUCAUGAGUGCUUCGCGCCUUUCCCGUUUCAUUUAGACGGUUUCGUGUUGCAUUAGCUAGUUGGUAAGGUAACGGCUUACCAAGGCGACGAUGCGUAGCUGAUCUGAGAGGAUGAUCAGCCACACUGGAACUGAGACACGGUCCAGACUCCUACGGGAGGCAGCAGUGGGGAAUAUUGGACAAUGGGCGAAAGCCUGAUGCAGCAAUACCGCGUGGGUGAAGAAGGUCUUCGGGUUGUAAAGCCCUUUUGUUGGGAAAGAAAAGCAGCAGGUUAAAACCCCGCUGUUCUGACGGUACCUAAAGAAUAAGCCCCGGCUAACUUCGUG
rnacentral:rRNA from 1 species